CCAGUUCCUAACAGGCCACAAACUUGGCCUGGUGUUUUGCUGGGAUUACAGCAAUCACUCGAUGGCGUGAGCCAUCGCGCCCGGCCAUGUAUGAUCUUUUAAGACCUGUCUCUCCCACUAUACUACAACUUCUAAGAGAUCCUGUUGCAAACCAGUUUCCCUGGGACCUGGUGCAAUACUUGGCACAUAGUAAGGUGCUCAAUAAAUGCUUGUUGAAGAAUAAAGGCAGAGAUCUAUCUUUCCAGCCACAUUUCCUUAAGCUUUCUUCUUCCCCCGCUUACCCUAUGAUGGGGAACCUCUAUCACAAUGGCCAAACCAGGCAUCCUAGGCCUUCUCCAAUGGUUUUUUACUUCUUUGGCAGGACCUUCAUCACUUUAUCCCAGGAAAUGCUGGUGCCCCUCUGGGAUUAGAUUCC
rnacentral:lncRNA from 1 species